GGUUAAGCGACUAAGCGUACACGGUGGAUGCCCUGGCAGUCAGAGGCGAUGAAGGACGUGCUAAUCUGCGAAAAGCGCCGGCGAGGUGAUAUGAACCCUUGACCCGGCGAUGUCCGAAUGGGGAAACCCAGUGCAAUCCGUUGCACUAUCGUUAACUGAAUACAUAGGUUAACGAGGCGAACCGGGGGAACUGAAACAUCUAAGUACCCCGAGGAAAAGAAAUCAACCGAGAUUCCCCCAGUAGCGGCGAGCGAACGGGGAGCAGCCCGGAGUCUGAAUCAGCUUGUGUGUUAGUGGAACGGUCUGGAAAGUCCGACGGUACAGGGUGAUAGUCCCGUACACGAAAGCACACUUGCUGUGAACUCGAAGAGUAGGGCGGGACACGUGGUAUCCUGUCUGAAUAUGGGGGGACCAUCCUCCAAGGCUAAAUACUCCUGACUGACCGAUAGUGAACCAGUACCGUGAGGGAAAGGCGAAAAGAACCCCGGCGAGGGGAGUGAAAAAGAACCUGAAACCGUGUACGUACAAGCAGUGGGAGCCUCUUUAUGGGGUGACUGCGUACCUUUUGUAUAAUGGGUCAGCGACUUAUAUUCUGUAGCAAGGUUAACCGUAUAGGGGAGCCGAAGGGAAACCGAGUCUUAACUGGGCGUUAAGUUGCAGGGUAUAGACCCGAAACCCGGUGAUCUAGCCAUGGGCAGGUUGAAGGUUGGGUAACACUAACUGGAGGACCGAACCGACUAAUGUUGAAAAAUUAGCGGAUGACCUGUGGCUGGGGGUGAAAGGCCAAUCAAACCGGGAGAUAGCUGGUUCUCCCCGAAAGCUAUUUAGGUAGCGCCUCGUGAACUCAUCUUCGGGGGUAGAGCACUGUUUCGGCUAGGGGGCCAUCCCGGCUUACCAACCCGAUGCAAACUACGAAUACCGAAGAAUGUUAUCACGGGAGACACACGGCGGGUGCUAACGUCCGUCGUGAAGAGGGAAACAACCCAGACCGCCAGCUAAGGUCCCAAAGUCAUGGUUAAGUGGGAAACGAUGUGGGAAGGCACAGACAGCCAGGAUGUUGGCUUAGAAGCAGCCAUCAUUUAAAGAAAGCGUAAUAGCUCACUGGUCGAGUCGGCCUGCGCGGAAGAUGUAACGGGGCUAAACCAUGCACCGAAGCUGCGGCAGCGACACUAUGUGUUGUUGGGUAGGGGAGCGUUCUGUAAGCCGUUGAAGGUGUGCUGUGAGGCAUGCUGGAGGUAUCAGAAGUGCGAAUGCUGACAUAAGUAACGAUAAAGCGGGUGAAAAGCCCGCUCGCCGGAAGACCAAGGGUUCCUGUCCAACGUUAAUCGGGGCAGGGUGAGUCGACCCCUAAGGCGAGGCCGAAAGGCGUAGUCGAUGGGAAACAGGUUAAUAUUCCUGUACUUGGUGUUACUGCGAAGGGGGGACGGAGAAGGCUAUGUCAGCCGGGCGACGGUUGUCCCGGUUUAAGCAUGUAGGCGGAGGUUCCAGGUAAAUCCGGUACCUU
rnacentral:rRNA from 1 species